rnacentral:rRNA from 1 species
UACGUAGGGGGCAAGCGUUGUCCGGAAUUAUUGGGCGUAAAGCGCGCGCAGGCGGCGACUUAAGUCUGGUGUUUAAGCCCGGGGCUCAACCCCGGUACGCACUGGAAACUGGGUGGCUGGAGUGCAGGAGAGGGGAGUGGAAUUCCACGUGUAGCGGUGAAAUGCGUAGAGAUGUGGAGGAACACCAGUGGCGAAGGCGACUCUCUGGCCUGUAACUGACGCUGAGGCGCGGAAAGCCGUGGGGAGCAAACAGG